AGCGAACGCUGGCGGCAGGCUUAACACAUGCAAGUCGAGCGCUCGUAGCAAUACGAGAGCGGCAGACGGGAGAGUAACACGUGGGAACGUACCCUUUGGUUCGGAACAACACAGGGAAACUUGUGCUAAUACCGAAUAAGCCCUUACGGGGAAAGAUUUAUCGCCAAAGGAUCGGCCCGCGUCUGAUUAGCUAGUUGGUGGGGUAAUGGCCCACCAAGGCGACGAUCAGUAGCUGGCUGAGAGGAUGACCAGCCUCAUUGGGACUGAGACACGGCCCAAACUCCUACGGGAGGCAGCAGUGGGGAAUAUUGGACAAUGGGCGCAAGCCUGAUCCAGCCAUGCCGCGUGGAUG
rnacentral:rRNA from 1 species